rnacentral:rRNA from 1 species
CGCGUAGGCGGCUUGAUAUGUCAGGUGUGAAAGUCCACGGCUCAACCGUGGAAGUGCAUUUGAAACUGUCAGGCUUGAGUAUCGGAGGGGAGUGUGGAAUUCCCGGUGUAGAGGUGAAAUUCGUAGAGAUCGGGAGGAACACCGGUGGCGAAGGCGACACUCUGGACGAAUACUGACGCUGAGGCGCGAAAGCGUGGGGAGCAAACA